AUAAUGGAUUAUCACGCGCAAGACAGUAAGAAAAGAGAGACUUUGCUGUCUAUAAAUUCUGCUAUAUGCUGGAAACUCCGAGUAUCCUACAGUAGUCGCCUCAGGCGACUGAAAAUCUGUUAGGUGCGGACAAUCAGCAGGGAACUUCAAAAGAAUUUUUGAAGACACCUCAGAGACUAUACGCAGGAGUACGUUCAGUUAACAUGAACGUACAAGAUAUAGUCCGAACUCUGCAGCGAUGCAGAG
rnacentral:ncRNA from 1 species